GUGCCAGCCGCCGCGGUAAUACCGGCAGCUCGAGUGAUGGCCAAUCUUAUUGGGCCUAAAGCGUCCGUAGCUGGCCGCGCAAGUCCGUCGGGAAAUCCAACAGCCCAACGGGUGGGCGUCCGGUAGAAACUGGCCGGCUUGGAACCGGAAGGCUCAGAGGGUACGUCCGGGGUAGGAGUGAAAUCCUAUAAUCCCGCACGGACCACCGAUGGCGAAAGCACUUCGAGAAAACGGAUCCGACAGUGAGGGACGAAAGCCAGGGUCUCCAACCGGAUUAGAAACCCGUGUAGUCC
rnacentral:rRNA from 1 species